rnacentral:rRNA from 6 species
GUCAUAUGCUUGUCUCAAAGAUUAAGCCAUGCAUGUCUCAGUACAAGCCAAAUUAAGGUGAAACCGCGAAAGGCUCAUUAAAUCAGUUAUGGUUCCUUAGAUCGUACCCACAAUUACUUGGAUAACUGUGGUAAUUCUAGAGCUAAUACAUGCAAACAGAGCUCCGACCGGAGACGGAAGGAGUGCUUUUAUUAGAUCAAAACCAAUCGGUGGCGGGUUCGCGCUCGUUAUCGUACAACUUGGUGACUCUGAAUAACUUUACGCUGAUCGCACGGUCAUCGCACCGGCGACGCAUCUUUCAAAUGUCUGCCUUAUCAACUGUCGAUGGUAGGUUCUGCGCCUACCAUGGUUGUAACGGGUAACGGGGAAUCAGGGUUCGAUUCCGGAGAGGGAGCCUGAGAAACGGCUACCACAUCCAAGGAAGGCAGCAGGCGCGCAAAUUACCCACUCCCGGCACGGGGAGGUAGUGACGAAAAAUAACGAUACGGGACUCAUCCGAGGCCCCGUAAUCGGAAUGAGUACACUCUAAACCCUUUAACGAGGAUCAAUUGGAGGGCAAGUCUGGUGCCAGCAGCCGCGGUAAUUCCAGCUCCAAUAGCGUAUAUUAAAGUUGUUGCGGUUAAAAAGCUCGUAGUCGAAUUUGUGUCUCGCGCCGCCGGUUCAUCGUCCGCGGUGUUAACUGGCGAGUCGCGAGACGUCCUGCCGGUGGGCUUAGCUCGCGAGGGCGGCCCAACUCAAUCCUGCCGCGGUGCUCUUCAUUGAGUGUCGAGGUGGGCCGGCACGUUUACUUUGAACAAAUUAGAGUGCUUAAAGCAGGCUAAAACUUCGCCUGAAUACUGUGUGCAUGGAAUAAUGGAAUAGGACCUCGGUUCUAUUUUGUUGGUUUUCGGAACCCCGAGGUAAUGAUUAAUAGGAACGGAUGGGGGCAUUCGUAUUGCGACGUUAGAGGUGAAAUUCUUGGAUCGUCGC